CUGUCCCUACGCCGCAUUCUCGCAAGAAAUCGCUUGGCAGCGGAGCGAUGUAGAACCGGGGCGCUCGAUCGCUCCCUGGCGGUACGGUAUUUCGACCAAUCGAGCUAGUUGCUACUUAGAUCUCGUGAGUGCUUCCGAAAAAAAAAAUCCUAGCUCCAAAAGAAUUUCUUAUUUCCUCCAUCCAGCUUGUGCUUCCUUAUUCGAAACCAAUCAUUUUUAUUGUACACUAUGUUUCUUCCUCUCACUCACUCACUCACAACUGACGAUUCAGCAGGAUGGCAAGGACGAUCGCCGCGAUCAACUUGGAGUGGACGAGGAACGAGCCAGCAGCACCACUACAGUCGGCUCUCUCGAAUCCAACUCUCGAUCUCUCGUUGUCAUACUCCACAAGGUAAUUGCUCUGCUGGUAGUUUCCCAGUACGUUGAUCUUGCCAAAACCACUUUUCUGGGAGCUUAGGAUCGCCAGGCACACCGUAACUUCGUUGCCGGCAGCAGAGACCGGCACGAACAGAUGCUCGAAGCGGAGCUCCAGCCUGACAUUGUUCUGCAGCGAC
rnacentral:lncRNA from 1 species